UAUUCAGCAGCAGAAACUCGGAAAAUUAUGGAAAGAAAGCAAAGCAUUUUACAGGAAACCAAAAAUCCCAACUUUUGAUAAACCCUAGAGAGAGAAAGAACCAUGAGACGAACUCUGCUGAGUAAUCUCUCUCUCUGCACUCGCAAUCGCCUUCUCUCUCCUCAAACAUUCAACCCAAAUCCUACCCCCUCACUCGUCCCACUCGCCCGUUCGACUCGGUCCCUGCUCAGCCGGUUCUUCUCUUCGGACGGCGACUCCUCCGCCGAAGGCCCCAAUCCGGCUGCUGAUUCGAGCUUGAUCCCAACCAAAAAGAAAGAUGCCUCCGUCGAAGUCAAGGACGUCAAUAACAAAGAGCUGAAGGAGCGGAUAGAUAAAUAUUUUAAGGGUGAUGAGGAGGCGCUCCCGGAGAUACUCGAAGCAAUUCUGCAGAGGAGAUUGGCUGGGAAGCACGAGGAAACAGAUGAUGAGCUGAUUGAUGAAUUGCAAAUGCAGCCAUUGGAUGAUGUUAAGGACCAAGAGUUUGAAUCGGAUUUUGAGGAAUUGUACGACACGGAUGAAGAGAUUGAUGACUUGUAUAACGCAAAGGAUAUAGUCAUGAAUAGGAUGUCAAAAGAUGAGUACUUCAACAUGGAUGCCAAGAAGUGGGAUGAUAUUGUUGAGGAUGCAAUUAAGCACGGGAUUAUGAAGGAUACAAAGGAGUGUGAGGCGAUUCUCGAGGAUAUGCUUAGCUGGGAUAAGCUCCUGCCAGAUGACAUGAAAAGGAAGGUAGAAGAGAAGUUCAAUGACUUGGGGGAUAAGUGUGAAGGAGGGGAGCUUCAACCUGAAGAAGCUUAUGAGUUGUUCAAGGAGUUUGAGGAUGAGAUUGUCAUGGAGUAUUUGCAGAAGAUGGAAGCCGACGGCCCCCCCACAAUUUGAUGAGGAUGUGUCUGACAAGAAGGAUCUGGCUGACCCACCAGGCGAAGGGCCAAUCCUUAGGUGGCAAACACGGGUAGUCUUUGCUCCUGGUGGUGAUUCCUGGCAUCCCAAGAAUAGAAAAGUGAAACUGUCUGUUACAGUGAAAGAACUCGGGCUUUCAAAGCAUCAAUUCCGUCGGCUCAGAGACUUGGUUGGAAAGCGGUACAAUCCAGGGAAAGAUGAGCUUACAAUUACUAGUGAGAGGUUUGAACACCGAGAAGAAAAUAGAAAGGAUUGCCUUAGGACACUUCUCUCCCUCAUUGAGGAAGCUGGGAAGGCUAACAAACUGGCUGAGGAUGCUCGAGUUUCGUAUGUCAAGGAGAGAUUAAGAGCAAAUCCCGCAUUCAUGGAGAGGCUGCACAACAAGACCAUGAGAUUGCAAGGAAAGAGUGCAGUACCUGCUUGAGAUUUUGAAUUCUAGCAGCUCAAAUAAGUUUCCUGGUCUGGGAUGACAUUAUCUCGACAUUCAGCGUUUUAAUUGGUUGACCCCCGCUCCAAGGUUAUUAUUUUGCAAUAGUCUAUACCCCCAAAUGGAUAUUUAGUGCACGGAUAGAUACAUUUUGCUAGUUGCUAAUGUUGGCAGUCAUUUGCUUUACUUUCUAGUCCUUGAAAAGUUCACAGGGAUGUAUAACUUGUUAAGAUCAGUGUUGUUUUGAAGUUUAUGUGCAAUGUUUUAAACAUCUUUCUGGUUCGGCAAGAUCUUUCGCUGUUAGCUUAAUGUACUACCGUUGAGUUGCUUAAUAACUUUGCUUCCACCAG